rnacentral:rRNA from 1 species
GGGAAUUUUGGACAAUGGGGGCAACCCUGAUCCAGCAAUGCCGCGUGUGUGAAGAAGGCCUUCGGGUUGUAAAGCACUUUUGUCCGGAAAGAAAUCCUCUGGGUUAAUACCCCGGGGGGAUGACGGUACCGGAAGAAUAAGCACCGGCUAACUACGUGCCAGCAGCCGCGGUAAUACGUAGGGUGCGAGCGUUAAUCGGAAUUACUGGGCGUAAAGCGUGCGUAGGCGGUGCCAUAAGUCUGUUGUGAAAUCUCCCGGCUUAACUGGGAGGGUGCGGUGGAAACUGUGGUGCUGGAGUGUGGGAGAGGUAGGCGGAAUUCCUGGUGUAGCGGUGAAAUGCGUAGAUAUCAGGAGGAACACCUGUGGUGUAGACGGCUUACUGGACCAUGACUGACGCUGAGGCACGAAAGCGUGGGGAGCAAA